UGGCUGUCCUGGAACUCCCUACGUAGCC
rnacentral:piRNA from 1 species